UGUGCACAUUGUUAGAGCUUGGAGUUGAGGCUGCUGAUCGGCCGAUGAACUCCCAAGUGUAGGUAGUGUGCUACAUGAGCGGCAAGCUUUUCGCUAACACCACGAGGGUCCCUGGCCUGAUGAGUGGGGUUGGAUAGUAAUCCUUGCUACAAUU
ensembl:snoRNA SNORA62 Small nucleolar RNA SNORA62/SNORA6 family